UACAGAGGGUGCGAGCGUUAAUCGGAAUUACUGGGCGUAAAGCGCACGUAGUCGGCUUUGCAAGUCGGGUGUGAAAUCCCCGGGCUCAACCUGGGAACUGCAUCCGAGACUGCAUUGCUAGAGUAUGGGAGAGGGAAGCGGAAUUUCUGGUGUAGCAGUGAAAUGCGUAGAUAUCAGAAGGAACAUCAGCGGCGAAGGCGGCUUCCUGGACCAAUACUGACGAUCAGGUGCGAAAGCGUGGGGAGCAAACAGG
rnacentral:rRNA from 1 species